rnacentral:rRNA from 1 species
UACGUAGGGAGCAAGCGUUGUCCGGAAUCAUUGGGCGUAAAGCGCGCGUAGGCGGCCUCAUAAGUCCGUUGUGAAAGUCAAAGGCUCAACCUUUGAAAGCCGAUGGAUACUGUGAGGCUAGAGUCCGGAAGAGGCGAGUGGAAUUCCUGGUGUAGCGGUGGAAUGCGCAGAUAUCAGGAGGAACACCGAUUGCGAAGGCAGCUCGCUGGGACGUUACUGACGCUGAGACGCGAAAGCGUGGGGAGCAAACAGG